GACGAACGCUGGCGGCGUGCUUAACACAUGCAAGUCGAACGGAAAGGCCCUGCUUUUGUGGGGUGCUCGAGUGGCGAACGGGUGAGUAACACGUGAGUAACCUGCCCUUGACUUUGGGAUAACUUCAGGAAACUGGGGCUAAUACCGGAUAGGAGCUCCUGCUGCAUGGUGGGGGUUGGAAAGUUUCGGCGGUUGGGGAUGGACUCGCGGCUUAUCAGCUUGUUGGUGGGGUAGUGGCUUACCAAGGCUUUGACGGGUAGCCGGCCUGAGAGGGUGACCGGCCACAUUGGGACUGAGAUACGGCCCAGACGCCUACGGGAGGCAGCAGUGGGGAGUAUUGCACAAUGGGCGGAAGCCUGAUGCAGCAACGCCGCGUGCGGGAUGACGGCCUUCGGGUUGUAAACCGCUUUCGCCUGUGACGAAGCGUGAGUGACGGUAAUGGGUAAAGAAGCACCGGCUAACUACGUG
rnacentral:rRNA from 1 species